UGGGGAAUUUUGGACAAUGGGCGAAAGCCUGAUCCAGCAAUGCCGCGUGUGUGAAGAAGGCCUUCGGGUUGUAAAGCACUUUUGUCCGGAAAGAAAUCCUUGGCUCUAAUACAGUCGGGGGAUGACGUACCGGAAGAAUAAGCACCGGCUAACUACGUGCCAGCAGCCGCGGUAAUACGUAGGGUGCAAGCGUUAAUCGGAAUUACUGGGCGUAAAGCGUGCGCAGGCGGUUUGCUAAGACCGAUGUGAAAUCCCCGGGCUCAACCUGGGAACUGCAUUGGUGACUGGCAGGCUAGAGUAUGGCAGAGGGGGGUAGAAUUCCACGUNUAGCAGUGAAAUGCGUAGAGAUGUGGAGGAAUACCGAUGGCGAAGGCAGCCCCCUGGGCCAAUACUGACGCUCAUGCACGAAAGCGU
rnacentral:rRNA from 1 species